rnacentral:rRNA from 1 species
GGACAACAGUUGGAAACGACUGCUAAUACCGCAUAAGCCCACGGUACCGCAUGGUACUGAGGGAAAAGGAUUUAUUCGCUUUAGGAUGGACUCGCGUCCAAUUAGCUAGUUGGUGAGGUAACGGCCCACCAAGGCGACGAUUGGUAGCCGGACUGAGAGGUUGAACGGCCACAUUGGGGCUGAGACACGGCCCAGACUCCUACGGGAGGCAGCAGUGGGGGAUAUUGCACAAUGGGGGAAACCCUGAUGCAGCGACGCCGCGUGGAGGAAGAAGGUUUUCGGAUUGUAAACUCCUGUCGUUAGGGACGAUAAUGACGGUACCUAACAAGAAAGCACCGGCUAACUACGUGCCAGCAGCCGCGGUAAAACGUAGGGUGCAAGCGUUGUCCGGAAUUACUGGGUGUAAAGGGAGCGCAGGCGGGAAGACAAGUUGGAAGUGAAAACCAUGGGCUCAACCCAUGAAUUGCUUUCAAAACUGUUUUUCUUGAGUAGUGCAGAGGUAGAUGGAAUUCCCGGUGUAGCGGUGGAAUGCGUAGAUAUCGGGAGGAACACCAGUGGCGAAGGCGGUCUACUGGGCACCAACUGACGCUGAGGCUCGAAAGCAUGGGUAGCAAACAGGAUUAGAUACCCUGGUAGUCCAUGCCGUAAACGAUGAUUACUAGGUGUUGGGGGAUUGACCCCCUCAGUGCCGCAG